AGCAAAAGCCAUAUCACCCUGCAGCCCAAGACUGGUUGCCCACUGAAGCUAAGCAAGGUUGAACCUGGUCAGUACCUGGAUGGGAGACCUCCUGGGAAAACUAGGUUGCUGUUGGAA
rnacentral:rRNA from 1 species